rnacentral:rRNA from 1 species
UACGAAGGGUGCAAGCGUUGCUCGGAAUUAUUGGGCGUAAAGCGCACGUAGGCGGCUUUGCAAGUCGGAUGUGAAAUCCCUCGGCUUAACCAAGGAAGUGCAUCCGAAACUGCAAAGCUUGAGUACUUAAGAGGAUCGCGGAAUUCCCGGUGUAGAGGUGAAAUUCGUAGAUAUCGGGAGGAACACGAGUGGCGAAGGCGCCGAUCUGGGAAGAUACUGACGCUGAGGUGCGAAAGCGUGGGGAGCAAACAGG